AAUAGACAGUGUAGCCAACGAACAUUAGGCCUACUCAUUCUGAUCGAGCUCAAGACAGAAAACAGUAGCUAGUUCUAAAGAGUGGGCAGAAAGUUUUCGAAUGUUGACAAGCUAACUCUUGAAAACAGGGGACCCUAACGUCACCUCCAGCCAGCUACGUGGCUAACACGCAAGGAACCCCAGGUGGAACAGUGCCAUCAAUGCUAUGGCAGAUCCCUGUACUUGGUCCGCCUGGGUCUGGUCUGAGAACCUGGAUCUUCAACAGACUUCUCACAUUCACAAAAUUGGAACUGAGGGUAGAUCCAUAGGAGCCGCAGAGUCAUUCCCAAGCAACAAUCCAGACAGCCCCGUCCACCUGUAGGCCCUGACAGCCACAGCAGGGAUAGACUGAAGAUCCUGCGGGUAAUGAGCUGGAACCAUACCCUGAUCCAAGAAGCCAAACAGACCAACAUUUUGCCUGCUUAUUGCAACUCUUCACAUAUACGUAAGUAAACGUAAUCAUGAUGUGCUUCCCCGUUCUCCCUCCUCUUUACCUGUCCUUUUCUGGGAGUGCAAUACAUUUAGUUACCAUUAGUGGUAAUUUUACUUAUAAUAAAUGUAUAUCUAUUGCUAAACUCGCAGAAAAGAUUGGAAGCUCGCAUCCAGACUCUUCAACAAAUAAGAUGAAGUGAGGAAUUCUUAAACUCAUUUUCGGCCCAUCUGGAUGCCAGCUCCAUUUCCUUUACACAUAGUUUAGUACUGUCUUGGCAACAGGAUGAGUCUUUCAUGGUAAGAAGGAUGUGUUGUGGCAAAAGGCCUACGGUACACACUCAACCCCCUCCAUAGUCUGAAAUGUGAGUUUAUAAACGAUAGUCAACUGUAUUCCUGGUGCUACAGCGACCGACAUCAAGGCAAAUCUGAAAGUGCUGGCUAAGGGUAAAUGUAAAUUUUCCCAAAUUAUUAUUCAUUCUGGCACUAACAACACCAGUAUGGGGUAAUCAGAGGUCAUGAAAAGGCCUAGGCGCAGACAUUUUGUCCUGCACAGAUGUCUGCUAGCUUCUCAAAACUGCAGAGUAGACUCCACCAUGUUGAUCUUUCCCCGUAUUAAAAUGAUGAUUGUGGCUGUAUCUCUGUUCUUGUCCUGCUUAAGUGCUGCCUUUGAUACCACAGACCACCAUAUUAUCCUCUACAGGCUGGAAAAAUCAGUUGGUGUUGAUGGGUUAUGAUUAAAAAGUUGACUUACAGAAAAUGUAAUAUACAACCUCAAUUCCAAAAAUGUUGGGACAGUAAAUGAAAUGCACAUUAAAACAGAAAGCAGUUGUUUGUAAAUUUACUUUGACUUGUAUUCAAACAAAAACAGUAUAAAGACAAGGUAUUUAUGUGAUACCUAAUCAACUUCAUUGUUUUUUGAAGAUAUACAUUUAUGCAUAUAAACCCUAACCCUAUGUAUGUACAAGCUUCAGACCACUUUGUCCAAGUGUAGGCUUAAAACCUCUUUAGUCAAUCCGAUAGUUAGCCAUUCCUGUAGUCCGAUAUCCUGUUAAAUGGUCAAGUAUAAUCAUGGAGUUUAUGAAGGUAAAUGCAGAUGUCUGGGCUGGGUACGUAGCUUAGUGUCAAGUGUAAGGUCGCCUUUACAGAGCUGACACCCUAGGUAGCUUAGUGCAGUAGUGGCAUUAGAUACAUUUAUUCUGUGUGUUGUCUUUAGAGUGCCUAAACUUAUCUUCUCCAUUUCUUUUUUCCCUGGGGCUCCUGCCCCUACCUCACCCGGAGUUCAAAGACCGCUCCAGCCUGUUUCCUCUGCGGGAUCGCUCCAGCCCUGUCACUAACUCCCUGGUCAUGGAUCGCUCCAGCCCUGUUCCGCCCCUGCCCAUGCCUUGAUGCAGCCUGGAGCUCCAGAUAUAUCACCCAGCCCCUCUAAACUAAAGAGUACAGAACUGUGAGGCACUCUGUGACAGUAGCAGUGUGAUCACUCACGGUGCUCCUCGUCGGCAGCGGACACCAGACCUUCCAGAGCCCGCACCCCCUCCUGCACGGCGUGCAGCUCGCCUGCAGUCUGGGGCCUACUCUUCUCCACGCUCUGCAGGUGCCCCACCAGCACCCCGCCCAGUGCACGGAUAAACGGCCUGGCCACGCCCUCUGUGGGGCUCUGGAACAUUGACAGCAGUAGCUGGAAGCACCGGCUCAGGACCUGGGGAGAGGACACAGUCCAUCUGAUGCUCAUUCAUUUAUUCAGGGAAACUGCUGCACACAUUUUUUAUUUUUUUACCAGUUUCUGAAACAUUAAAUAUUACUGUGAAGGCUGAGUUUGGCACAUGAACAUGGAUGGCUGGAAGGUAACUACAAAAACAUAUAUCAAUUACAAGUUUCCUUUAAAAAUAUUUCUAAAGUGCAGAUUUAUACAGAUUCAUUUCAAGACUUAUCCUUGCCUAUUUAUUUAGUUUAUAAGACUAUAGGAAAGUCCUAACAGUCCAAAUCAUCUGAGCUAGGACCAGAUAAAAUUGUUAAAACAGUGGAUUCUCUUUUUAAGACUUUUGAGACACCAAAAGAGAUUACACAAAUAGAUUACAAAAAUAACUAAUUCCAUCACGAAGACCUGGAAGUUCAUAUAUUUAUCAUAUUAGUGAGUGGGGGAAGAAGACAAAGAAGGUGAAGGUGACAAAGAUGAAGAAGAAAAGGCCAUUUGAUGACAUUCUUGCUUUUAUCAUUUUUAUACUUAUGAGAGCUUUAUUACUUUAUUACUAUUUAUAUUUAUAUUUAUACUUUAUUACUUGUCAGAGCUGCCAGGGAAAUGCUCUGUGGCAAGCAUUCAGGGUUAAACAGCUCUGGAAAUGACCGCAUGUAUCCAGCAUGUGGCCGGCACUGUUAUGAAGCCUCCCUGUUCACAAGCCGAUGUAGAGGGUGGGACUUACUGCAGGAUCCUUGGACUCCAGGCUGGCCUUAAAGCGACUGAUGCAGCAGGUCUGCAGUGACUGCACAGUGGUGACCUCAGGGCCCGCAGACAAUAGGAAGAUUGUGAGGGCUGUCAGCAGGCUGACAUCAUCUACUGUGUGUCCUGUUUCCUCUACUAGGGCAUAAACACACAGAGCAUUUAUUUUACAAUCACAUAAGUGACAAGAGGCUAUGUGCUGUGGCAAAAUAUGCAUAGUUGACAAGAUAUUUUACACUGGGAUAAGCACAGUGUAGGGAGCAUGACAGUGUUUGAUGGAGUACUCUGUUUUAUGUGUGUAAUGGUAUGCUACUGUGCAAAAGGUGUUGUAUGGUGCAGUGGACAGAUAAGUGUUAAAGGCGAGGUAAAUCACUUUCUUAACCCCUUUGUGCGAGCCCCCAAGUGGCCAGGGUAUCAGCGUCCUGAGAUUGUUCAACUCAGACAUUCAUUGCUUCUACAACCAUAAUAACCAGUGGAAACAACAAAAUCUGUUCUAGGAUUAUUAAUGCACGAUACUCCACAACAAUGCUAAAUACAGAGUUUCUAAGUGUCGUGUUGUCGUGUAGGUUUAACAAGCACCUCCCCCGCAGUCUCAUCACCAACUAUAGCCCCCAAGCAUGACACACUGAACAAUAGCGUCUAUAUGGGAGUUCAUAAAAAUAAUCUUUCACCACCAAAAAUGUGUAUUCUGUUAAAAUCAAUAAUAGCCCGAAGGUAUGCCGAUACAGCUCACUGAAUAGAGAAAUAAGACAAAUUCCUGUUUAAUUACACCAUGACAUUCUACUAUCCAUAUCUGCGACAAAAUAUGGAAUAAAUAUACAUGUAGAUAUGUA